rnacentral:rRNA from 1 species
UACGGAGGGUGCAAGCGUUGCUCGGAAUUAUUGGGCGUAAAGGGUAGGUAGGUGGUCUUAUUUGUCUGGGGUGAAAGCCUUGAGCUUAACUCAAGAAGUGCCCCAGAAACGGUAAGACUCGAGUCUUGGAGAGGGUCGGUGGAAUUGCCCGGGUCGGUAGCGGAUGGAAUGACGUAGAGAUCGGGAGGAACACCAGAGGCGAAAGCGGCGACCUGGACAAGUACUGACACUCAACUACGGAAAGCGUGGGGAGCAAACAGG